rnacentral:rRNA from 1 species
CAGCGCCACGAGUGGGAAUCACAAUUAUUGGGCCUAAAGCGUUCGUAGCCGGUUAUGUAAAUCCUUUGUGAAAUCGUCGGGCUUAACCUGACGGAUUGCAGAGGACACUGCAUAACUAGGGACCGGAAGGAGUAAGGAGUAUUCCAGGGGGAGCGGUAAAAUGUUAUAAUCCCUGGAGGACUACCUGUGGCGAAGGCGCCUUACUAGUACGGAUCCGACGGUGAGGAACGAAAGCUAGGGGAGCGAUCCGGAUUAGAGACCCGAGUAGUCC